GACGUCGCAGCAAGCAAGGUUGGUUUUUGUUGUUGAAAAUCCCCAUUCAUGCGCAAAUGAACAAAUAGAAAUAAAAAAAAGUUUCAAGAUGUGGUAGUUUUUUAGCUUACGGUGGCUGAAGUAGUUGAAAUGUAAUUUAGCAAAAAAAAACGUGUUAUCUAUUCCACAAAUUUGGCGAAGUCCGAGCACUGGCUGGUGAGAAAACCUGCUUUGCUUCGCACACAAGCGCAUAUGUGUGAUAGUGUGAGUGCCCACCUCUGUUCUAGCGUCAUCAGUCAACUUUCGCAACAAACGUGGCAAAGACGGGUUACGAUUAAGUGAAAUUCUUUUUUAAUUUGUUAUUUGUUCAUGUAAAAUCGUUUAAAAUGACAAGGGCGCAUUGCUGUUGUAAUCCUUUUGAAAGAAAAGGACACAAAUGUGUCACGAAAAGGUUAAAGCUUAUAACCAGUAAGUGGAAAAAAAAUAAAUUCAGUGAAUUCAUAAAUCGCUUCAUGUGCCACUCGUGUGUAACUGAGAUUUAUAAAAUGGGCCGGUUAAAAUGUCCUCAAAUUCAUUCCGCAACAAAAAACAGGUUUUGAUUGAUUUUGAAGCUAACCAUAAUAGUGAUGCAGAGGAUGACAGCGGAAUUGCACAUGACGACUUAAUUGCAGAUCCUUCUUUUGCUAAUGAAUCGGUCGAUGAAUCAUUCACAGUAUCAAAAAUUAGUAGUUUACUCGAGCAGUUCAGGGAACCUGCCAUUAAAAUACAGCGACUUUCAGAUUUAUCUGACCACGAAAAAGAAGAGUUAAAUGCGAGUCUAGAGAACAUUAAAAGGAAUAUUAUAAAGAAUGGAUCAAAUAUUGAAGAAUGCAACUCAAAUAAUCAAAUUUGCGCGUACUUUUUAACAAGCAAACGUGUCGUGCGAACAAAAUUUCUGUUCUAACUAUGGUUCCGGAAAAUUGGAGCAUUAAAAUGAUAAGAGACAGUAUUAACGUAUCACGCCGAAUGACUUACCAAGCUAAAAAUCAACGUGCUACGGGUGGAGUCGGUCACGACCGUCAAAAAAAAGGGUAGUCCUAUAGAUUCAGCCAUUGUUGAAACAAUUUAAAACUUUUAUCGUUCUGAUAAUGUGAGUCGAAUUAUGCCUGGCGUUAAAGAUUAUAAAUCUGUCAACAAAAAUGGAAUUCGAUCACAAGAGCAGAAAAGAUUACUGCUAGCAAAUCUUGCAAUUUUACCUGCGGAAUUCUGUGAAAAAUAUCCCAAAUCGAAAGUUUCGUUAUCCGUCUUCGUAAAAUUGCGUCCACUCCAGUGUAUUUUCGUGGGUCCAAAAGGUACACACAAUAUAUGCGUAUGCAAAACGCAUGAAAAUUUUCGCCUCAAAUUUGUGGGAUUGGAUAAAGAGAUAAAGACCCUGACUUCUCACUGGAAUGUCGAAAUUGCUUUGCAAAAAUAGUAUGUUUGAAUCCAACACCCGAUUGCUUUCUGCUAAGAUCUUCGGAAUGUCCUAGAAUGGAGAAACUUUCAAAAAAUUGCCAGUCUCUCUUACAAACACGAAACAUUUCUUCCAUAACUUUCCAGCAAUGGAUUAGCACCGACAGUCAAAAAUAACUUCAUGUAACAGGUGCACAAUGUAAGAAGUGAAGGAGCCAAGCAAGCUGUUUCUGGCAAAUCUAAUGAAGGAUUUAUCGCUCACAUUGAAGCCCGAUUUCAUUGCAAGAUGUCAAAAUCAAUGGCUCACUGACCAGAAGAAUAAUUUAGACGAUGGAGAGUAUGUUGUUUGUCUGGAUUUUGCUGAAGAUUAUACCUGUCGCGUGCAAAAUUCAGUCCAAUCUGAAUAUUGGAACACAACGCAAGCAACAAUUCAUCCGUAUGUGAUUUACUACAAAAAAAGUGUUGUUGUGGAACACACGAACACGACAGUUCUGCAGUGAAUUUGUUCAAUACAAAAUUAAUUUCGUUCAUGAAGGUUAAUUUUGGCCGACCAAACGUAAAAAAAAUCUAUUACUAUUCUGAUGGAGCCGGUUCUCAGUAUAAAAAUAAAUUUAAUUUUAUCAACUUGCUCCAUCACAAAGAAGACUUUAAAGUGGACGCCGAGUGGAACUUUUUCGCUUCAGCACACAGUAAAUGUGCAUGCGAUGGGCUUGGAAGUGUGAUCAAGCGAAACGCUUAUCGUUCCAGUUUACAAAACCGAGACUCUAAGAAAAUUACAGAGGCACAAUCGCUUUUUGAAUGGGCACGAAUGUAUUUCAAGUCAAUACAUUUUGGAUUCUGCACGAAAAAUGAUCACGAAAACUUAAAACGCGUUACGACAAAGCAAAAACUCUAAAAAAUACUCGCCAAUUUCAUCGUUUUGUGCCCAAUGUCCAAAAGAAAAUGGAAUGCAAAAUUUUUUCAGGACAUGAUGAAUCCGUAAUUGUACCUGUUAAUUAAAAUGAGUUUAGCCUGCUUCAUGUUAUACAACUGAAAAAAACAAAUAAUACCAAUAAAACAAUAAACUUUCAUAUCUGACACAUGGUUUAUGUUUUAUUCUUAAACCGUAAAUUCAUACAUAUUAGCUGCUCCUGUACAAGCUUCCCAGUGAACACGUUGUGCGCUUAAACGGUGAGCGUGCAUGGUUCACGAUGCGUGCAAGCUGUGGCUGUUAAUAAUAAACAAAAAAG